rnacentral:tRNA from 1 species
GUCUCCUUAGCUCAGUAGGUAGAGCAACAGACUCUUAAUCUGUGGGUCGUGGGUUCGAAGCCCUCAGGGGACACCA